UUUAAAGAGAGUUUGAUCCUGGCUCAGGACGAACGCUGGCGGCGUGCCUAAUACAUGCAAGUCGAACGAACGGAGGAAGAGCUUGCUCUUCCAAAGUUAGUGGCGGACGGGUGAGUAACACGUGGGCAACCUGCCUGUAAGUUGGGGAUAACUCCGGGAAACCGGGGCUAAUACCGAAUGAUAGAAUGUGGCGCAUGCCACGCUUUUGAAAGAUGGUUUCGGCUAUCGCUUACAGAUGGGCCCGCGGUGCAUUAGCUAGUUGGUAGGGUAAUGGC
rnacentral:rRNA from 1 species